GACGAACGCUGGCGGCGUGCCUAACACAUGCAAGUCGAGCGAAUGAAAUUCCUUCGGGAAUGGAUUUAGCGGCGGACGGGUGAGUAACACGUGGGCAACCUGCCUCAUAGAGGGGAAUAGCCUUCCGAAAGGGAGAUUAAUACCGCAUAAGAUUGUAGUACCGCAUGGUACAGCAAUUAAAGGAGCAAUCCGCUAUGAGAUGGGCCCGCGGCGCAUUAGCUAGUUGGUGAGGUAACGGCUCACCAAGGCGACGAUGCGUAGCCGACCUGAGAGGGUGAUCGGCCACAUUGGGACUGAGACACGGCCCAGACUCCGACGGGAGGCAGCAGUGGGGAAUAUUGCACAAUGGGGGAAACCCUGAUGCAGCAACGCCGCGUGAGUGAUGACGGCCUUCGGGUUGUAAAGCUCUGUCUUCAGGGACGAUAAUGACGGUACCUGAGGAGGAAGCCACGGCUAACUACGUGCCAGCCGCCGCAGUAA
rnacentral:rRNA from 1 species